AUGGGGCAGGCGGCCCUGACUCCUCUUUCCUCGCCGGCGGUCAGGUGGACCGCUUCUCCUUUGGCUGUGGCAGCGCCCGCGCCUUUUGUGGCGUUGGGGGAGGGGGGUUUGGGGCAGGCAGCCCUGACUCCUCCUUCCUCGUCGGCGGUCAGGAGAUCCGAGCCUCCUCCCAGUGUACCCGUUGCUAUGGGUCUCGGAUUGGGGCACUUGUCCGAGGGGUAUGGGAGCCCGCAGCCGCCUCUUCCUGUAUCCUUGGUUGACCCUUCGCGGGUGUCAGCGCGAGGAGUUACUAGGGAGGAGGUCGUUGCUUUUGGCGGGAUCCCGGACCCGGCCUCGACGGGGAGGCGGAUGAGUGCUCGCAUUCAGGAGCUUCCGGAGGUUGAUGACAUGCAGCAGAGGUGCGCUAUGAGGGCGGCCAAGCUUCAUGAUGCUGCGAUCUCUACUGGUUAUUUUCCGAGCCACGGCCGUGAUCCGUUCAUGGUCGCUACUCACUCCGAUGGAGGCCAGGGAGCAUUUGGUUACUGGAUCUAUCCGCUGGGAGAUGGUAGCUCGGGAUAUCUUCAACCGGUUUGGAUGGCGGUCAUGUAA
rnacentral:rRNA from 1 species